AGGCCUCGGUGACAGCAAAACAGAGCGCAACCCGAGCGUUCGGUUACUCGAUUUCGUCGGGUUUGUACCGGUACAAGGGGACCUUGUACCGGUACAGCACCUGAAGCCCUCAAACCAUUAAAACCGUGAUCGUUGUACCGGUACAGCCAUCGCCCUUGUACCGGUACAGCAGCUCCAGAAUGCUGUUUUUCGAUCUGUUUCGAUUUCUUUUCGCGUCCAACAACGCUAAAACUAUUCCAACACUUUUGGAACUCAUUUUUACUCUUCCAAACAUGUUGAAAUACCGAAUGGAACUUGUCCAAACAUUCGAUUGCUCACUUUGGUCCGUUGUGCCAAAGUUAGCCGAAUUCCGUCGAAUUUCGAUAUCUUACAUUCUCCACCCCUUAAAAGGAGUUUCGUCCUCGAAACAACUGACUCAUAAUGCGAACUUAAACUCUUACCUCAAUCCUCGAACAAGUGAGGAUGAUUAGCUUUCAUCUGGUCCUCGAGCUCCCAAGUGGCUUCGCGAUCGUCGUGAUUGCUCCACCGAACUUUAACAUAGGAAAUUUCUCGAUUCCUUAGCUUACGCACCUCCCGAGCCAAAAUCUCUACCGGAAACUCUUCAUAGCUCAAAUCAUCUUGAAGUUCCGGUGGCUCAUAUAGCAUCAUAUUGUCACGCCCCGGGACCGGUACCAAUUUGGUCCAGUUCGGGCGCGUCGGACAGACGCCGAACGGACAGGACCUCCCCUGUCCGCCCAAGGCCAACAGCGAGAUCAUGUACAACAAGUUCCCAGGAAAACACUUGAAUGCACACAUGAUCACACGACAAGCAAGAGCACGAACAGUGCUAGACGACUAAGAGCAAGAUACAAGUAUAAAACAUACAAGUACAUCAAGAGAGAAAGGUUCUAUCUAUUACAUUUAUCCACUCAAACUUCUUUAUACAUUUGAAUCCUUCUUUUACAAGCUUCCAAAACAUAAGUACAACACUCAUACCUCACCCUAUACAUCAUCUACUCUCAAACAUAAUAAAAGGUAGAGCUAAUGCAAAAGGGGUGGAUAGCUAGUGCAACUAGGGCGCUAGGCCCUUACCGCGAUCCUCGCCGUGUGACCUCGUGCUCGGCCCUGUAGUAAAAUGGGGGUGAGAACUAACUUCCUUAGUUCCCAGUGGGUUCGGCCGCCGACUCCGCCGAUCUCCCCACUAGGUCCAAGCGGGCAAAAGUAGAUAACAUGAUAAUAAUAAGCGAAAGCGGUAAUAUGACAGAAGAAGCUACCUCACAACUGCCUGCAAUCAUCAUAUAUAGUUAUGCAUGUACAAAUGAAAUAGAUAAUACAACUUCAACUCCAAUUAUUAUUCCAAAGGUAACGCCAAUUUACCCGUCUUCAUCAUUUCAUCUAGCCUGUUUCUAUUUCAGUGCUUAUCCAUGAAGAGCCUUACCUGCCUCACCUAAUCUAUCGAAGUAGUGAGGGUCAACAUCGCACACUACGAAACGCGAGACUCGUCUGCCGGCGACCCAUGUUCAAAAAUAGGUUUCGAUCCCUUGGGACCCCCAAUAUGCGAUCCCCCGGGACGUGACCAAACGUACGGCAGCGCACUACUUGUGAUGGGGCUUUCCAUCCCAUAGAUUCUUAAACAGCGGAGCAUGAAUCCAAAUCCUCCAUCUCGAGAAUACCUUAUAUCUAUCCUCUAAGGUUACUCUUAUCAACCACCCACCCACGUUUCAUCCCACCACAUCCAGGCACCUACAAGUAUCCUCGUAGUCUUCUAUUUAACUAUAAACUAGAUGCCACUCAUUCUUUUGCUCAUUAUCAACUAUGAAAUGUCCAAACAGUUAUUUGUUUAACAUUUAGACCUAACGUGCGGAGACCAUCUUUUUUCUCUGCAACUAUAUCGAUCUACAAGUCGACCCACAUCUCUAUCAAAUCCACUUCAUAUCAAUUAUCCUGUACAUCCUACGAUCAACAUCAAAGAAAGCAUAAGAAAGGCAAAUUCAGCAAUUAUCUUCUAUAAAUGCAAUAACACAAGAUUCAGAAUCAACAAUGUAGCUCAUAGACAUAGAAGGGGGCUCCGGUGCUUCGGGAGUGGACACCUACCUUCACCUUCUGGCAACGCCGCAAGGUUUAUAAACUUGUCUUUUGCGGCCUUCGCGACGCCGCGCGCUCCUCGCCCUAAAACUAUAACCUUCAGCAACUUGUUCAUCACAGCCGAACUGUCGCAGCUUGUCGCUCUGAUCGAAAUCGACGAACCGCAUUCCUACGCGUUCGAGAGCCAUGUAAUUAGUUUCUGACCAACCAAAGUUAGAUCACAACCCUAGAUUUCCAAAAAUCGCCCCACAAUCCGCCCAUAGAUAUGGCAACGGGGAAAAACAUCCGCGGUGCGGAAGCUUCGAUUGCGACCCGAACCACCAUCUCCUUACUCUCCUCUAGUUCCAUUCGAGACCAAUUCCAACAAUAAAACCUUCUAUAGCGAGAAAAUCUAACCAUUGGUAGGCUUGAGUUUACCCUCCAAAGCUUCUCCAAAGCUUGCUCUUUCGAUUGGACGGAGAGAGGAAAAAAUGGUCCGCGUUCUUCUUUCCUUCUUCUUCUCCUUCUCCUUUUUCUUCUCCUUCUUCUUCUCUUUCUUUUCUUCCUAGAGAGAGAGAGAGCAAAGAGGGAGUGAGAGAGAGAGAGAGAGCAACUGAGAGGGAGAGAGAGAGGGGUCCCCCACCUCUAAUAAAGGCCAUUUUACAAAUAGGCCCCUCAACUUUCCAUCUAAUACACAGCCCUCACUGGGCUGUUUUCGCAGCGAGGGACCGGUCCCAGGUCGGGGAGACCGGUCCCCGAGAGCUCUCCAUCUCGGGCAGAAGAAUUUCGCGUUCGGGAACCGGUCCUUGCCUGAGAGACCGGUCCCCGGGAGACCGGUCCUUGACCGAGAGACCGGUCCCCGAGAACUAAAUUCUCGGGACUUAGCCAAAUUUCGGCUAAUCUCGCUGGGCCAACGUUCGGGAACCGGUCCCUCAUUGCCAGGGACCGGUCUCAUCAGAGACCCCCGCGGCCCAGCCUGAUGGGACCGGUCCCUCCCUGCCAGGGACCAGUCCCCGAGAGCAUUUCUGCCCCAGUGCGGAUUUUGCACUGGUGCUCCCGCGGACCUUUCUUUAAUGCACUUUAUGCAUUAUAAUCACCUUCGGACUUUCCGAAGCCUACGCACUCGACAACUAGUCGAUUCUAAUCGAAGUCUAAUCCUCGUAUUUCGAGAAUUCACUUCCUCACACAUAUGCUCGGGGUCGUGAAUAUACUUGCGGAGGUUGGAGACGUGGAAGACAUUGUGCACACCCGCAAGCUUCGGGGGCAAUGCAAGUCGGUACGCCACCGUCCCAACUCGCUCCAAAAUCUCGUAGGGGCCAAUGUAACGAGGACUUAGCUUUCCUCGCACCCCAAACCUUUUCACGCCUCGCAUCGGUGAAACCUUUAAGAAUACGCGGUCACCCACCGCGAACUCCAACUCUCGCCGGCGUCUAUCCGCAUAGCUUUGCUGCCUUGACUGCGCCGUGAACAAUCUCUUGCGAGCAAGGCGGACUUUCUCCUCCGCUUCUCGCAACACAUCGGGGCCGAACUCCGCACGCUCACCUACAUCGCUCCAGUGUAUAGGAGAUCGACAUGUCCGUCCAUAGAGAGCUUCAAACGGUGCCAUCUCCACACUAGCGUGAUAGCUAUUAUUGUAGGCGAACUCGGCCAUCGGUAGGUGGUCACACCAACUUCCCUUGUAAUCAAUAACACACGCUCGCAACAUAUCCUCCAGAGUCUGGAUAGUCCUCUCUUUUUGCCCAUCGGUCUGAGGAUGAAACGCAGAACUAAAGUCGAGCCGUGUGCCAAAGGCUUCCUGCAGGCUCCUCUAAAAAUGCGAAGUGAACCGGGGGUCACGAUCCGACACGAUCAAUUUCGGCACCCCAUGCAGCCUCACUAUCUCGUCAAGGUAAACCUGCGCUAGCUUAUCGCCUGACCACGUGGUGUGAAUCGGCAAGAAAUGAGCCGACUUUGUCAAUCGGUCUACAAUUACCCAGAUUGCAUCGUGGCCGCCCUUUGAGAAAGGCAAGCCGACCACGAAGUCCAUCGAUAUAUCCUCCCAUUUCCAAACGGGGAUUGGUAGACUUUGAAGCUUUCCCGCUGGGAAUCGAUGCUCGGCCUUUACUUGUUGGCAGGUUAGGCACUUUGCCACAAAGCGCCCGAUGUCGCCUUUCAUUCCCGGCCACCAAUAAUGCAUUUUUAGUCCUUGAUACAUCUUGGUGCCGCCCGGGUGGCCAGCAUAGGGAGACCAAUGUGACUCCUGAAGUAUAAGCUUGCGAAGCUCCUCAUCAGCAGGUACACACCUCCGGUUCCGA
rnacentral:lncRNA from 1 species